CAACGUCUUGGUCCUAAACUUAAAGUGAUUUUUAGCCGAAAUUACACAUGCAAGUCUCCGCAAUCCAGUGCUUAUGCCCACCCAAUUAAACCCCGAGCGAGCAUCAGGCGCAUCUCCAAUGAUAGCCAAAGACGCUUAGCCCACCGCCACUCCCCCACGGGCCCCAGCAGUGAUAGACAUUAGGCACUGAGCCCACCCCACAUUUAAGCUCGACCUAGUCACGGCUAAUAAAGAGUCGGUAAACUCCGUGCCAGCCACCGCGGUUAUACGACGGACCCAAAAUAACACGACACGGCGUAAAAUGUGGCCAGGCACACAGUUCAAUUACCCUGAUGCCAGAGACAAAAUAUAGUGGUAAAAUACUGUACAAAAAAAACACCAACACUGGCAUCAAAUUAAACCAACCAAGCUGACCCCACGAAAGCUAAGAACCAAACUAGGAUUAGAUACCCUACUAUGCUUAGCCUUAAACCUAGAUAGUACCACAACCCACUAUCCGCCAGAGAAUUACAAGCGAAAAGCUUAAAACUCAAAGGACUUGACGGUGUCCCACAUCACCCUAGAGGAGCCUGUCCUAUAAUCGAUGACCCACGUUUAACCUUACCUGGUCUUGACAUUUUCCCCAGCCUAUAUACCGCCGUCUCCAGCCUACCUAAUGAUAGAUAUAAUAGUAGGCAAAAUUAGCCCCACGCUAAAACGUCAGGUCAAGGUGUAGCAAAUGACCAGGCAGAGAUGGGCUACAUUUUCUAACACUAGACCACCAACCAACGGCAACAUGAAACCUAAGCCCCAAAGGAGGAUUUAGCAGUAAUUUGGAUUAGACCCUCCAAAUGAAUCCCGCUCUGGGACGAGUACACACCGCCCGUCACCCUCAUCAACCCACCACUAAAAAAUUAAAUAAAACCCAAACCCACCCCAAGAUGAGACAAGUCGUAACAUGGUAAGCGUACUGGAAGGUGCGCUUGGCACA
rnacentral:ncRNA from 1 species